AGCCUAGAUCUCCAACAUCCCAACAAACCAAACCCUAAAAACAAACACAAACUUAAGAGCCUUCUUAGUCCCUUCAGAAAUACAAAUCUGCUGCUGCUCCACCACACCUCCUUCAAUAUACAAUUCUUCAAAUAGAUCCGCCAGGCGAUUCGAUCAGGAACAAGCCAGAUGUGAUCAAGGGAGGCAUGGAUUCAUUUCGUAGACAAGUGCUAGACUUCUACACCCGUCUGGGAACCAAGGUGGUGGACGAAUCUCAUGAUCGAAACAUCACAGGUUUACACAAGUGCGUUGCAUAUAUUUGUGAAUCUACUCCGGACUUGGAUAAAUCUAGUGUAAGUUACAUGUAUUUACAUGUGAAAGUGUGUGCAUAUGCUUAUCUGUUUCUGCUAACCAGAAGCAUAUGCUAAGAUGUUGUUGGUCUUGGAAUGGGUGGUGUCGGAAAAAUAUUUUUUAUUGUUUUGGAUCAUGUUUGGAGUGAGAAUUAUACGGACUGGGAGAUUUUGCAGUUUGGGGUGCUCAAAUGUCGAUCCUUCCCCGGAAUGGAACUUCUGCCUUCCACUCUCACAUCACUUAAGAUUUGGGAUUUUCAAAAUCUGAAAAAUUUGGACUACACUCGGCUUCAGCACUUAACAUCUCUUAGAGAAGUGGAAAAUUGCAAUUGUUCCCCAGCUCGUAUCCUUGCUUCAACAUGAGCUGCCUUCUAGAAAGAUUAUGAAUGAAAAGGAGGAGUUGAUUCUUUUGUGGAUGGCUGAGGGUUUCUCGGUUGAUUCGAGUGUUGAUAAGGAAAUUGAAGAGCUAGGUGAAGAGUACUUUCGUGAUCUUGUAUCGAGGUUACUUUUUCAACGAUCGAGGUUUGUCGUUCGAGCUUCACUAUGCAUGAUCUAAUAUAUAUAUUUCCGUGAAAUUUUGUUGUAGCCUGGAUGGUAAUGAUUCAAGCAAGGUUACUAAAACAGAGAUUCUCUGUCCCAAUAUCAGAGUGUAUCCGAGCUGCCCAGUCGAUCGAAUACCUCAAGCAUUUACGAUAUCUGGAUCUCUCUACAGCAUCAAUUAAAAAGUUGCCUGAAGUUGUGACCAUUUUGUAUAAUUUGCAAACACUAAUCUUACAUGAGUGCACACACUUUGUUGUAUUGCCUAAUACAAUUGGAACUACAUCUAACAUCAAGAAGUUGGGAGAACUUCAGCAUCUGCAAGAUAAACUGUGAAUUCCGAAUCUUGAAAAUAUUAUCGAUGUUGAGGAUUCUUCAGACGACGAUCUAAAGGGUGAAGCAUCUUAAGGAGUUGGAGCUGAAAUGGAACAAUGGUCCGAAUAAUUCUGAUGAUUAACCAAAUGACAGAGAUGUCAUUGAGAUAUUACAGCCUUAUCAAAAUAUUGAAUGUCUAUCUAUUGUUGGUUAUAGAGGCAAAGCAUUCGUGUUGGGUAGGAGCUGAUUCAUUCUCAAACGUAGUGUCGUUAAAGCUCAGUGGAUGCAAAAACUGUUUAAAUUUGCCACCGCUUGGGCGGUUAGCAUCUCUAGAGGAUCUCGCAAUUACAGAGUUUGGUGGAAUCAUGGUUGUUGGUCCUGAAUUCUAUGGAGGUUCUGUGUCCCAAACCAACCCAUUUCGAUCCCUCAAAAUCUUGGAGUUUGAAAAGAUGCCACAAUUGCAUGAAUGGGUUUCUUUUGAAAGUGAUGAUGAAAAUCGAGCUUUCCCCCUUCUCUAGGAACUUUACAUCAGGGAAUUUCCCAAUCUGACUUCAGCACUGCUCCGCCACCUUCCUCCAUUAGCAACACUUGAAGUUUAUGUAUGCCUGCAGCUGGUAGCUUCACUUCCGAGAGCUCCAGCCAUCGUUAUAAUGAAGUUGCAAGACGACUUUCGCGAUAUUCUGUUCAAGAAGUUGCCUUUAGGUCUACAGUCUCAUAGUUGACAAAUUUGGACUACUUGGGCUUCAGCACCUAACAUCUCUUAGAGGACUGGAAAUUUGCAAUCAGCUCGUGUUCUUGUCGGAACAUGGGCUGCCUUCAACUCUUUUUUCGUUGUCGAUCUUCCUGUGCCCUCUGCUUGAACAGAGGUAUCAGAAAGAUAUAGGAAAAGAUUGGAACAAUAUUUUUCAUAUUUCCCAUGUUAAACUUAAUUUUCACAAGAUCAUUUGAGUCAAGUUCUAGGUUUUGUUGAUGUACUUUUUGUUAUCAGGUUCUUGAUUUAGAUUCUCUAACUUGAUCUAUUUAUGCUAUUUGUUUUCAAGUCAUGGUUUUGUCUUUUCAAUCUUGUUUAUGUUUUGAAUAUGCAGUUUACAUAAUCUUGAACAA